rnacentral:rRNA from 1 species
GCUUGGGAAUAUGCCUUGAGGUGGGGACGAACAGUUGGAACGACUGCUAAUACCGCAUAAUGUCUACGGACCAAAGCGGGGGACGUCUUCGGAGCCUCGUGCCUUUAGAUUAGCCCAAGUGAGAUUAGCUAGUAGGUGAGGUAAUGGCUCACCUAGGCGACGAUCUCUAGCUGGUUUGAGAGGAUGAUCAGCCACACUGGGACUGAGACACGGCCCAGACUCCUACGGGAGGCAGCAGUGGGGAAUAUUGCACAAUGGGCGCAAGCCUGAUGCAGCCAUGCCGCGUGUGUGAAGAAGGCU